rnacentral:rRNA from 1 species
AGUUCGGAUUGAAGGCUGAAAUUCGCCUUCAUGAAGCUGGAAUUGCUAGUAAUGGCAGGUCAGCAUACUGCCGUGAAUACGUUCCCGGGCCUUGUACACACCGCCCGUCACACCAUGAGAGUUGGGGAUACCCGAAGCCUGUGAGCUAACUUUUAGAGGCAGCAGUCGAAGGUAGAAUCAAUGAUUGGGGUGAAGUCGUAACAAGGUACC